AAAUAAAUAAAUAAAUAAAUAAAUAAAUAAAUCAAGCUAAAUUAAGGUAAUAUAGCGCUAUAAUAAACCCAAAUAAUUAUUCAUAUAUCAUUAUUCCACUAUUACAGAGCAAAAAGGUCAAUAUAGUUAUUAAUAGGAUACAUUACAGCACUGUAUAUAUAAUAAUAUAUACAACAAUAACUAUAUAUAAUAUGAAAUCUAUAACGUGAGGUGAACCCUUUUAACCCUCAAGUGUGUGCCAACUGACUGUCGCGAAAAAAGCUUUUUCAAAGGGAAAAAAGUGACGUACAAUUUCAAUCAUUAAGACCGCGAAGCGAAUCAAAUCCGGCGGAUUUACAGACGCCGCGGUCGGCGCGGUGUCUGUCGUACGCUUGUAUUUAAGAUCAUAAAUAGACGGACAGAACGCCAGGCCACGUUCUCCGAGCUUCUCCGAGCGAGAACGUGGAUUAAGCGGGUCAAGAGUUCAGCGUCGGGGUUCGGAUUUCUCCAGAGAGCCGACGUCCUGCUUCAUCGGUUACUCUUAAUUCCUUUUCAUUUGGUUUAUGUAAAUCUCGGGGAAACGCAUUACGUCUCGCAGCCUCGUUUAUUAAACCACAAAAGACACGAAGUUGUUCAUCAGAGUUUGUCGCAAACCUGUUCUCAUUUAGACUGAGCGAUGUGUGUGUGUGUGUGUGUGUGUGUGUGUGUGUGUGGUUUCUUCUGCCCGAACAUCCAGCAGGGAUAUGCUCAUCUGGAGACGAACUCUAAUGAGGCAAAUAAUGAUUUGUGUCUUCCAACGAGAUCCUCCAGUGAAGGAGUAAACGGAUUACGUAAAUACAAUAAAUACAGAUAAUCGUACAAUUCCCUUCGCCGUGGCUUAAUUACCCCAAACCGACGCCAUGCACUUUAUUUAUUUUGAUUCAGUAAUGGCAUUGCAAUCAAUUAGGCCGUAAUGCUGCCAGCUGCUUUCUGCGUGUGUGUGUGUGUGUGUGUGUGUGUGUGUGCAGCUGUUUAGCUGAACUGAACCACAUUAACCGUUAUUAAUGGAUAAAUGAUUUCCCCUCUCUCUGAACGCAUACGUGAGUAAGUGUGUGUGUGUAGACGUGUGUGUGUUGUGUUCUGAUUUGGAUCAGAUACGAAGGCGCAGGAGAUGCGGUCGUGGUACGGGUUAAAGGGAGUGAUGGGGAUUUUAAAGAAAAGCUGAAUUUCAGCCGGUGAUGUUUCUCAUUCUGUAAAAACUUUAUUGACUCGUGUCUGUUUCCCGAAGAGAGAGUCGGCACCGUCGAACACCGCGUUUAGACUUUUUCACGCUCGGUUGAAGUUAUAAAGAACGAAAGGCCCAGAUCCGGCCCAGAUCCGGCCCACGCCUGACACGUUCAUCCGGCCCACAUACCGCGUGGAAUGAUGACACUUGGGCGGUCCGCUCCGGGUUGCCAGAUUUGGGCCAGAAGCAAGCCGUAGCAAUGCCGCAUGCGCAACACUUUUUGCAAAGGUGGCCCACAUUUGUUUUGUGAUAUUUGGGCCAUAUUCACUAUUCCCCACACGGGCCGCUUUAGGGUCACGUCCAGAUCACACACUGCCGUGAGCGCCGCAUCGCUGCCUAAAAAGAGAAACGCUUGUGAUUCAGGAUAUUUGGGCCAUAUUUGCUUAUUUUUGUCCGAGCCAAAAGAAGGCCAGCAGCACUGCCUGAAGUGGCCCACAUCCGCAUGCCAUCUGGGCGUGGCCAAGCUAAUCUAACACAUGAUUGGGUGGUAGUUACACCCAUCGACUCGGACACACAAGUAACAAACAAGCCAUCAAUUUGCUAGUGAGUAAUUCUUGUAGACGUUAUAAAGUCCGUACGGGAUUUCACCAAGUUUAUUUUGUGAUCGGCCGACCGAAGACGCUCGCUUCUGCAAAGACUUUUUCGCAGCGAUGUUAGUUGGUAAACGAGACCUUUUAGCCGUACUCGUGUAGGACGCACGUGAAUCGAAGACGGCUUCGACCGAACACGUGUCGCGGCGACGUCACGUGACGCAUGACUUGACAACGGAAAUAGUUAGUUGUUGCGUAACGUGACUCGCAGCUCAGGUUCUGUCUUUGUUGCUGGUGUUUAUGCAAAAAUCCCUUAAAAACCCCAACGAGUGUCAUGUUCACGUUCUCCAUCACGGUAAAUACCUCAUGCAUUUUCAGGCAGUCUAACCACACACACACACACACACACACACACACACACACAGGCUCCCUGCGAGCGCCUUUAAAUGAAAGCAUGUUUAAUUAAUGAUGCUGAAGUUCUCCGUCACAAUUAAGAAGAUGAACGGUCAAACAAGGCACCGGAGAAAAGCCCUGACGAUGAAAAGUUUGUCUUCCUAAAGUGCUGCUGAGGAUACAGUAACCUGACACACACACAAACACACACACUUUUACUGCACUUGACACUGACAGAUAUGACAGGAGGAUUUAUAGCGGAGCUGAAACACCUCGCGUUCAGCGUGAUGUAUGUGACUAUAAAAAAUACGAAUAAAUUAAAAAUGAAAAAAAAAAAAUGCUGUCCAUCAUUUAAUAGCUUCGAGGAGAAAAUACGACUCGAGGCUUCGUCUCCAACACGCAGCUCCAUGCCGACUCUAAACAUAUAAACAAGCUUUCGUGCUUGUUCUGUGCAUGCUGUGAUCUCAUGUGUUACCCAUAAUGCACUGCGAGCAGAUCGUCGUAAUAUAGGCAGACAGCGGCGGACGUGCGUAAGACGUGAACUCACGACGUUCUGACAGGAGUGUGUAACAGCUAGUGAUUGUGAUUUAGGUUUUGGUGAACAAACCCGAGUCAGUAAUUCUUAAUAACAAAAAUACCGAUCAGUCUGGGUUAGGGUUAGCCUCGGGUUAGGAGUAGACUAGGAUUAGGAUUAGCCUAGGGUUAGGGUUAGCCUAGGGUUAGGGAUUAAAGUUAGCCUAGGGUUAGGGUUAGCCUAGCGUUAGGGAUUAGGGUUAGGGUUAGCCUAGGGUUAGGGUUAGCCUAGUGUUAGGGAUUAGGGUUAGGGUUAGCCUAGGGUUAGGGAUUAGGGUUAGCAUAGGGUGAGGGAUUAGGGUUAGGGUUAGCCUAGCGUUAGGGAUUAGGGUUAGCCUAGUGUUGGUUAGCCUAAGGGAUUAGGGUUAGGGUUAGGGUUAGCCUAGGGUUAGGGAUUAGGGUUAGCCUAGGGUUAGGGUUAGCCUACUGUUAGGGAUUAGGGUUAGGGUUGGCCUAGGGUUAGGGUUACCGUAGGGUUAGGGAUUAGAGUUAACCUAGGGUUAGGGUUAGGGUUAGGGUUAAGGAUUAGGGUUAGCCUAGGGUUAGGGUUAGCCUAGGGUUAGUGAUUAGGGUUAGGGGUUAGGGUUAGCCUAAUCCAAACCCAGUCUCAUGACGUUAUUAUUAUCAUAUCGAUGCGAUGUUGUAUACGGCGCUAUCGUGUGCUAGUUAGCCUUUUAGCAAGUAAGCAGACAAUUAGCCAGCUGUGAUACGAUAGAAUAAAACGAUGAUUUAUUUUUAGCGUCAGGGUUCUGGGAGGUAAUUAAUCUGAUGACGGUUCAGGAAAAAGCUUCCUCGGUUCUCUAAACAGAGAGGAGAAGGCGAGUAAAAAUGGAGCGAGAGAGAGAGAAAGAGAUGAGAGAGACGCAAAAGGCACAGAGACAGAAAAGAAAGACAAAGAGAGAGAUAAUAAUAAUAAGAAGAAGAAGAGGCAGAUAGAGACCCAGAAGAGAAACUGAAGAGAUCGAGACAGAGAAGGAAGGAAAAGAAGAGACAGACCGAGAGUGAGACAGUCCGAAGGAGAGAGAGAGAGACAGAAACAGAAAAGUAGAGUGAGACAGAGAGAGUGAGACAGACAAGGGAAGGUGUCAAUUAAAGGAAUGAAGGCUGGUGUGUGUGUGUGUGUGUGGUGUUGACAGCUGGCUGGAGUCGAGCUGACAGCCGUCACAUUAAGCAGCUUUGGUGGCCUGCACACACGCGCACACACACACACACACACACACACACACACACACACACACACGUCUGAAAGUGGAGGCUCUGGUGCUGCAGUGAUUAGCGUUGAACCCCUGCAGCUAUCGCUAAUAACAGUUAUUAGCAUCUGUAGAGUUCUGGGAGAGUUUUUACACUCUGAUCAGGUUUAGAGUUUCAACAACCACCGAACAACCCCUGAACAUCCACUGUAUGACCACAGAAAACCCCUGUAUAACCACUGAACCAGCACACAACCACUGAACCGGCAUGGAACAUUCACAGUACAACCACAAAAAAUACUGUACAAGCACAGAAGCACCACUGAACAACCAGCGUACAGCUACAGUACAACCCCUGAACAUUCACUGUACAAACACUGAACAACCAACAUACAACUAGAGUACAACAACCGAAUAACCCCUGAACAACCCCUUAACAUUCACUGUACAACCAGCAUACAACAACACAACCACAAACUAAACAACCACAAAAAACACUGUACAACCGCUAAACAGCCGCUGAGUACUGACAGUACAGCCGCACUCUUUCUGAGACAGCGCUGUUUAAAAUAAUCUCUUUACCACAAACAGACAGGAAGUAGCUGAUGUGGUUCACUGUAAUGAUUUCUUCAGUGUUAAUUCUUUAUUGAUUGAUUUUUUUUUCCCCAUUAAUAAAUAAAUGUUUUUUCUUUGUUUUUUUUACAACAUAAAAUAACGUUCUUCAGAUAUGAAAUAAAGUAUGAUCAAACAGGUUUUUUUAGAAUGCUACACCAGCGUGUCGCUGUCGUGUUCGUACACACAGCGUAUCAGGAUGCACGCCGCGUCUCGCACAGACCCGCGUGACGAUCCGGAUCUGAUCUCAUGGUAUCUCCAGAUCGUACUGGACCUGGAGCUUUCGCUCCACAUUAUUAUUUUAAUCCCUCAUUUCAAAAAGAAAAAGACGGAGAAAGAACAAAGUCCUUUUCUGAACUUGUGGAAAAAUGUUUCAAUGUAGAGAGCCACAGAGUAUACAGUACAGAACUAUACAUAUAUAC
ensembl:lncRNA